rnacentral:rRNA from 1 species
GACGAACGCUGGCGGCGGGCCUAAUACAUGCAAGUAGGACGCAGUUGCGAACGGUUGAGUAACGCGUAGGUAACUGCCUCUUAGAGGGGGAUAACUAUUGGAAACGAUAGCUAAUACCGCAUACUCGUAGAUGGACCUGCGUUGUAUUAGCUAGUAGGUUGGGUAAUGGCCUACCUAGGCGACGAUACAUAGCCGACCGGGGCAGGUUAUCGGCCACACUGGGACUUAGACACGGGCCAGACUCCUACGGGAGGCAGCAGUAGGGAAUCUUUGGCAAUGGGGGGGACCCUUACCGGGCAACGCCGCGUGAGUGAAGAAGGGUUUCGGAUCGUAAAGCUCUGUUGUUAAGGAAGCGUUACUUAACCAGAAAGGGACGGCUAACUACGUGCCAGCAGCCGCGGUAAUUC